rnacentral:rRNA from 1 species
CACGUAGGGCGCAAGCGUUGUCCGGAAUUAUUGGGCGUAAAGAGCUCGUAGGUGGUUUGCUGCAUCCGCUGUGAAAACCCAAGGCUUAACCUUGGGCUUGCAGUGGAUACGGGCAGACUAGAGGUAGGUAGGGGAGAAUGGAAUUCCCGGUGUAGCGGUGAAAUGCGCAGAUAUCGGGAGGAACACCGGUGGCGAAGGCGGUUCUCUGGGCCUUACCUGACACUGAGGAGCGAAAGCGUGGGGAGCGAACAGG